rnacentral:lncRNA from 1 species
GAUCAACGGCGCCCAAACACGACCCCUCCCCGGUUCCUCAGCUUCUCAUUCAACAUACUGAACAAGAACUAAGGGGAAGGAAAAAAACUCGCUGGCGGCUGACCAACAACAACGACCACCCUCCCGGCCGUUGCCCGCCUCUUCACCUUCCAUCUUCAACAAUAAUCCCCGUCACCCAACCAACAAAAAACUAGUGACCACCCAACUCGAAAUUUGUUGCUGUGGAUUGUCGAACUAGUUGCUGAGUUCAGUCCGAGUUUGUGUCAGUCACCGAUGAGGAGUUGAGUAUUUCUCGUUGAGCUUCCGUUCGUCGUUCCUUGCCAUAGAAAUCUUGACAUCCAAACAAAAUUGUUAAGUUAGACGCCUUCGUACUUUAAGGUCUGUUUCUAUAUUUAAUUAUUUACCUCAUGUUUUUGUCAUAUGUGUUUGAGUGAUAGAUCCGUGUAUUCUCCAUGGAUAAUUGUGAUAUUUUUUAUCCUAUGUUUAAAUUUGACUAACUAACGUACUGGACAUUAGAGAUUCAGUCACAUGGAAUUCUGGAAACUAGUGAUAUUGAUCUUAAAUUAAAUGGUUCAAAUUUGAAAGCUUGUUUGGAAUUGAUUUCAAUAGUUGGGUGGUUGGGUAAAAUUGAAAGAAGUUUAGGUGCAAGAUAAAUUAUAAUGUUCUUUGUUACUUGUAUUUAGUCGCUAGGAGCAUGUUUAGGCCGACAACACUUGGGUAGGUAAACCCUUAGGGUGUUCGUAUUUUAGUUUUGAGGCGAGAGGUCGUUUCCCAUAGUUAAAUUUAUCCGAGGUAUGCCCCGAAGUAUUUGUAAUUGGAGAAGGAAAGAGGAACUCUUAAUAUUUUUAUUUUUAUUUUUAUUUUUUACUUUUUAUUUUUCUUUCAUUAGGUGGGAACGACCUCAAGCCUCUAGUAUGUUUAUUUUCCCUUUUUAUGUUUUCCACCACAAUCGAAUAUUUUAACAACCAACUUGAUCAUGUACGCAACCGUGAACUUCACGGGACUUGGGGAAUGCCUAACACCUUCUCCGCGAGUCAAAUGAACCCCCUUACCCGAAUCUCUGGUGCAGACUUAGUUUGGAGUCCAAAGUGUUUCUAAAAGGAAAAGUAUUUCUUAAACAAAUGGUAACCUGGCACACCAAAACCAAUGUCAGGUGGCGACUCUGAGUUAUUUCCUUUUGAAAAUAAUUUUUGUCACUUUCAAAAUUGAAAAACCCUUUUCAAACUUUUACUAAAUAUUUUUAUUAAUUUAAGAGGGUUUAAGUGAGGUUUGUUUUUUAAAAAAAGAUGUGACAUCUUUGGCGACUCUGCUGGGGACUUGCAGGUUCCAGCUAGCAUUUGAUCUUGUUGGUUUUAGGAUGUUCGGUUGAGGUUUUUAUGUGUUUUGUUUGCUUUAUUUGAAUUAUAUUUUGUUUAUGUCCUUAUUAUUUGCUAGUUGCUUACUUGUUUACAUGUUUUACUUUAUGUGUUACUGCUUUAUAAAUUGCCAUCAUUUGCAUAAUCAUGGGUCUUCUUUCUGCAACAAGUCUCGAAGCACGUGUCACGUACACGAACUCUUUGUUGAGUCACCCUUAAAUUAGGAGGGGAGUCGUCGGACGUUUGGAGUGGGUGGAAAGCUUGAGCAGCCACCAUCGACCAUACGCUCCCCCGAAUUGUCUAGUUAGUGAACCUCAAACUUAGGUCAGCCUUUAGGUUAUUUUUAUUUGCACCAUGCCAUUUACACCUAGUAGGGCUUGGUCCCAAGUACCGUGUCCCUUUGUAGGGAGCCUGUCCAAAUUUUGUCAAAAUGGGCCUGUGGCCAAAAUGACAUUUAAUCGUCCUAUGUGCUAAAUGUUGCAUCUUUGAUGGUAAAAAGACCAUUUAGUGGACAGAUGUUUGGAAAAGAAGGGUGAAAAAUAAAGAAAGUAGGGUCCACCUGCAUUUUCUUUCAUAGCUUUUCAAAAAUAAAAAAAAAUAAAAUGAGAAAAUCCAAAAAGAUUUUACACUCUUCCAUUAUUUUUCAAAAUUCAAAAAAGUAGAAAAUCAAAAAAUCAAGAAAGAUUUUAUACUUUUCCAUUAUUUUCCAAAAUUUUAAAAGGUUGAAAAUGAAAAAUCCAAAAAAAAAAAAGAUUUUACACUUUUCCAUUAUUUUUCAAAAAACUAAGAAAAACGUAUAAAAUGAAAAAUCCAAAAAGAUUUUGCACUUUCCAUCAUUUUUUCAAAAAGACCAAAAAUAGCUUUUAUUUCAAAUUAGAAGCAUUUUUUUUCUUUAUCCUAUAUUUAAUCCUCCCGAACUACGCGAACCUGAUUCCCGUAUUUCGGGUGAGAUACAUAGGCAACCCACAUAGGGUCCGGUCUUCCUAGUAUCUUAGGUUCUUGGCUUUGCUUAGCCAAAUUUUGCAUGUCUAGCCAUUUGUGGCCACAUCGACCAUUCUUGCAAAAUAGGGUUACUUUCGCAAAAGUGGUUCAAUAACCCAUGUCUUAUGAUUUUGAGUCAACAACUAGGUGUCAUAUUAUUUUAAGGUCUUUCCUUUUGAGUUUGCAUCCUUAGCCACUUCUGGCCAUAUCAGCUAUUUUUGCAAAAUGGGUUACUUUUGCAAAGUAGUUCCUAGGGUCAUAAUUAUUGGAAGUUUGAAUCCAUGUAAGUCUUAGGGGUUGUCUAUGUCUUUGGGGUCAUCUUCGUUGAGUUUGAGCUAAUAGCCACAUUUUGGUUAAGUAGGUCAUUUUGCAAAAAUAGUCCUAAUCAUGGCUUGCAUGUAUCCAAUAGAAGGUGUCGUGGUGUCGCAUAGUGUCUCGGGUCGCUAACUCUUUCUGGUCUUAUUUUUCUCAUUCAGGUAUGGAUCAUUGUACCACAGCUCGAGCAUGACAACCCGAGGACUACUGCAUUUAGGAUUUGCUUAUAUAUACCUUUAUGUUUUGAGUCUAUCAUUCAUGUUGUCUUUUAAUGAUUAGUCUUAUACAGUACCAUCGAGUCUGUCAGUCUAGUUAAGAUUUUUGAGUCUUUUGUUAUAUUACUUCCCAUGUUGUAUUUGAAAAAAAAGGUAUAAACGAAGAGUCCAAAAAU